rnacentral:rRNA from 1 species
GAUGAACGCUGGCGGCGUGCCUAAUACAUGCAAGUCGAGCGAACUGAUUAGAAGCUUGCUUCUAUGACGUUAGCGGCGGACGGGUGAGUAACACGUGGGCAACCUGCCUGUAAGACUGGGAUAACUUCGGGAAACCGAAGCUAAUACCGGAUAGGAUCUUCUCCUUCAUGGGAGAUGAUUGAAAGAUGGUUUCGGCUAUCACUUACAGAUGGGCCCGCGGUGCAUUAGCUAGUUGGUGAGGUAACGGCUCACCAAGGCAACGAUGCAUAGCCGACCGGAGAGGGUGAUCGGCCACACUGGGACUGAGACACGGCCCAGACUCCUACGGGAGGCAGCAGUAGGGAAUCUUCCGCAAUGGACGAAAGUCUGACGGAGCAACGCCGCGUGAGUGAUGAAGGCUUUCGGGUCGUAAAACUCUGUUGUUAGGGAAGAAUAAGUACAAGAGUAACUGCUUGUACCUUGACGGUACCUAACCAGAAAGCCACGGCUAACUACGUGCCAGCCGCCGCGGUAA